UUCGCGAAUAAUCUCUUCACCUCUCGACCAGAUGGCGACGGUGUCCUGUAUCAGCACACGUUGCCUGUUGCGACGGGGCGGCCUAGGAGGGGGGAGAUUCGCCGUUUGCAUCAGUGUUGGUAGAGUGAGUGAUAUUUCGCGAGUGUCGCUUGCCUCGCCGGGCCGCCGCCGCUGUUCGGAGGGGAUACCUCCCGCGAAAAAUCCUACCAUUUUCAGUGCUAUUUGGGCUUAAGGACGUCCUCCUCGAUCGCCAGGGGUCAGGGUAUUUAAUCUUGGUGUAUCGGGCCCGCAUAUUUCUAUCAAAUCGAGCCGGGAACCUCGCUGAAACUCCGCUUCAAUAUAGAGAAAUAAAAUAAUAAAAUAGCAGCAGAGCUUAACACCGAAACGGAUUCGGAGAGGCCCCAGCAGUCGUUGUGUGCCGUGUUUCUGCUGCCUUCGCGUGCUCGCUGCUGCUGCUGCCGCUCUCUGUUGCCGAGUGCCUUGGGUUCAGGCCGGAAAUACUGAGUACUGUUAAAAGGACGGGAAUACGUAUGUGAGAACAUGAAUUUAACACAUGAAAAGACGAAAAAAUUCACAAUUCUCAUUUACGAGAAGAGAAAAAAAAAAAAAACGAAAGAAUGAAAAAAUGAAGUAAUAAAUACCCACGCACAGAUUGAAUUGAAAUUUUAUCAAAUAUAACUUCUUUUAACCGGAACCUCGAACACUCUUCGACGAUCGUUUCGACGCCGGGACGGGGGAUUACGAUUCAUCGUUAAACCCUGUUGCAAAAACCAAGAACGAAGAGGCCAGCACGACUACGGAUGAGGGCAGUGAUCUCUCAGGGAGCGGCGACCUGCGAACCGUCCAUAGAUAUACCUAUAGGAUAUACUCUCCUCUUCGCUACGCAGACUGGCGAUUCUGGCUGGCUGGUUGCAGACUGGAGUCUGGGACAAGGAUUCUCUCUCACAAUAUCCACGUUCUAUACUCUUCGCGUGUGUAACCGAGGACAGAGGCACACGUUCGAAAAGCAAAUUUUUCAAACCAAGACCUGCAGUUCGGAUUUGUAUCUCAUGCUGCAGACGACGACCAGCUGCUUCGAAGCGCAAAAUUUGAAAACUGGUUAUCCUACCGGAGAGGAUGAUGCUGUUGCUGUCUUGGGCAGCGAGGCAGGCGUCUGAUCCAGCCGUUCAGCAGUUACUUGAUGACACUAACCCGUAGAUCCGAACUUGUGGGCUAUAUAAUUUGCACACCGCAAGCUCCUAUCUACCGGUACAUGUAGUCAGGCCGUCGAUUUGAUGACAUACAUCCUUCGGACGAAAACUACGACCAAACGAAUGAGAGUCUUACAACGAUAGAUUUCAAAUGCUUCUUGAGCUUAUAGGCGUUCUUAGAGGCGAUUCGUGAUCUCCAACGUGCCUAACCAACCGAUGCAUAUCUACAAUGAUGAGAUCUGCAGGCCUGAUGUAUCCAGCAAAUUUUACUGUUGUACAUGGUUUGCUUCCCGUCGAAUUUCACGCUAUAUUAUAAUACAAGGUGUAAAAUUUUGCAGAAGAAUGGAAAAAUUCAAAAUCACCUAUUGAAUAAGACUGAAUGAUUUUCAAGUGAUCAUGUGUUGCAAAGAUCUUGCAAUCGGGGUUUAGUUACUGUCAUUUUAAAACAAACUGCAUACUCAUGAAAUGUACGAGUGACAAAUUUUGUUAUUAUAUGCCAUAAAUUAUAAGGGGAUAUUGUAAGGUGAGAUAUCGAAAUUAAUUAGAAAUUUUGCUUUAUAAAUUUUAUAAACUAAACGGGGCAAGUAAAUAUUCGGCACACAAUUUUACCGGAACUUCUUAAUUGAUUCUAUAGUAUCUUCAUCAGAGAUAGUAAGGACACGAUACCUGCUAUAUCAUUUUUGUUUUAUUCAAUUUUAUAUAUACGUCACUUUGAACUCUUGCUUUAUAAUAUGAUACGUGUACCCUUAGUUCGUAUAUAGCUGGACUUCCUAACCAAUCGAACACCUCCGUAUUAUACAUAUACUGUUUUGAGAAAAAUUGGAUUAUUGUAUAAUUUUUCUUACUCUGAAUUCGACCACCUUUCGAUACCUACGUAGAAAAAAAAAAACUUGUUUAAUGGAAACGUUGCUUUUUUUCUUUGUCACUGGAAAGUACGCAAUAUAAAUUUGAGAAAAAAUGUUGAAAUUUUCGAAAAAACAAACGGAAUACGAACGCGAAAAAGCGACGAGAAUAAAUGAGCAAAGAAUUUCGAGUAUCCAUAAAUUAUUGCGGCGAUGCCUGGGUGAGGUAGUAGGUUGUAUAGUAGGGAAUGAAAAUUCGAAGAUACGAAGUCCACUGUACAGCUUGCUAACUUUCCCGGUCGUCGGUGCCCCGACGAUGGACCAUCAUCAUCCUCAUCAUCAUGAUCAUCACCAUCAAUAGAUCCGUGUAAAAUAAUUAUCGAGAGAAAGAGGGAGACAGGGGGAAAGAAAUAUUGACCGCGAGAACAAACAACGAAUGAGAGAAGAAUUCUUGCAAGAAAUUAUAGAGAAGGAAAAUAACGAGGAGGAAGGAUGAAUGGAUGGAAAUAAGGAAAAACGGAAGGCAUGGCGGGCGGGCGUGUAUAGCCUGCCGCAUCGCCGAUUCCCUGAGACCCUAACUUGUGACGUCGCAUCCGAUAUCUCACAGGCUAGAUUCUCUGGUAUUGGCGAUGAGUAGUAUGUCAGUUCCGGUGUGAUGCUCUGUGUUAAAAGUGAAUCGUAAACGAUCGUACCGCAAAGAGAGAGAGUUCGCAAUCACUUUACAUUCGAGUUUUUCUUAUUGUUUCUUUAUUUUUUUUUUUUUUACCUUCACUUAUUUACCGUUGCUCCUGUUGUAAAUGAAUAUAUGUAUGUACAUAUGUAUUUCAACUACGUAAUCAUAUUGCUUUUCUUUAUCCAAAAAUAACUAAAUAAUUUUCGUUUAUUUCAUUUUCAUCAUUGAAAUAAAUUUUUACCAUCAACAGUUGUACAAACUUUCACGUGUACGUAGGAUAUAUACUAUAUGCAUGUAAUGUAUAUACAGUUAUUUAUCGUUUGUCUAUAUAAACUAUAGAUAUGUUAAUAAAAAUAAUUGCGAUUAUUCAAUCUUGCAUUAUUUGGUAAAACUUGUUUUAUACAUCUACAAUCCCCGUUGAUAUAAAAAAUACAGAAUUUCUAAUGUCAAAACUGUUAUUAACGCUAUUCUGAAUUUUACGACCUAUUACCUACUAUCUAUAUUAUCUAUAAAUAUAUAUAUAUACACAUAUAGUAUAUAUACAUAUAUAUAUAUAUUUAUAAUUAUAAUCCCUUGUUACUUAAAUACGAUCAAACAAUUGCAAGGUUCUGUCAACAAUAAUUUGAAUACACAAGUACGCUUUCAAUCUUGUAUUAUGUUACAGAAGCGAAACCAAGAUUCAUAAUUACUUCGUCUUUAUUUUACUUGGAAUUAAAAGAUAUAUGGUAUCAUUACGUGGAAGAAGUCAAUUUUGGUUUAGGAAUGUCCUGCAUAUCGAAAACUUUGAUCGCGGCUUAUAAAAAGAUUUUCAUGUACAAAAGUUAGCGAAAGCCGUUAUUUUAUUGGUAAAUAGUUUACUUUAAUCUUGUUUUUCAGGAGCAUUACUCAACUUGACUAGGUGGAUCUUCGCACCUAAAGCUGUCUCCUUUCACAUGUACUCCACUUUCAUGUACAUUAACAACCUUGUCUUUAUGUCAACUACGUUUGCAAAAUGUAAUCCAUAAGAAAAGAGUUUUAACGUUGAACAGAUUAAAUUCACACCAAGAAGCAAGAAUGAUUUAAAAGAACCACAAUUCUACCGUUUCAGUUUGUUUCUUUAGUGGAUUUAAAUCUUACAGCGACAAAGUAAUAAUAAUCUAUUCUUUAUAAAGUUCAUGUAAAUUUUUCCUUGCUUGCCGUUCGUUAAUUGAACUCUUUAUUGGCAAAUACUCCAACUGUAAUAACAUCAUAACUGUGUUAACUGCGUAUUACUACACUUAUCUUCUUUUCAGAAGUAUCUUCUACCUUCUUCGACAAGCCGACUAAGUUCCGCGGCAGAAUAUCCUAACAGCUGUUUAAGGUCGCAAACAAACUUGUAUACGAAUCGCUUUCCAUGAACUUUCGAUAUCAUGUCCCCGUCAUAAUAAUACCGGAGUGCUCUGCUCAGUUUUUCAUAAUUCAUCGAAGGUUUAUUUUUUCGAGCUCCCCAAAGCUGAGCGACUACUUCGGGUUGAUUAAGUUUAAACUCUCCUUCCGUUCCUAACCACUGAAUAGCUCCUCUGUGCUCUCGAUCCGUUAAUAAUUCCAACAGAAAUUGCCACAGUUGAAUUUGACCGUUGCUUCCUGUUCGGUUUGACGUCGCAAUCGUUAUUCCAGGCGAGUCAACACUUCCCAUCGGAACACUCACUAACCGGGGCUGCUGAUUCAAACUACGUGCUUUUGGGGUCUUCUGAUUCCUGACCUUUGCCGACUUAAGUUCGUCGGUAUUACCGUUUGAUGCCAUGGGAGGAUCCUUCUGGACAACAGC